UGGCAAUUGCCUGAAGUCCCAGCUGCUCAGGAGGCUGAGGGUGGGAGAAGAAUCAUUUCGGCUCCAACUGGUGGGAAGCAAAGAGGCCAGAGAAGCAGGCAAGCUAUCUUGGAGCCUCACCUGGAAAUGACACCCAUUUGAGUUCACAACUCACUGACAGGCACCUGGCCACUUGGUCAAACCUGACUGAAACAAGACUGAGCCAUGUAGCGUAACUGUGUGCCUCAGAAAAGAAGGAUGGAUUCAAUGAGGUUGCCCACAGAGAGGAUCACAUGACAGAAACUGGGGAUGCCUUCCAGACACCAGCAAGAAACUGAGACCCUCGGUCUGAAAGUCUACAAGAAACUGAAUUCUGU